rnacentral:rRNA from 1 species
GACGAACGCUGGCGGCGUGCCUAAUACAUGCAAGUCGAACGCAGUGGGGACGGGUGAGUAACACGUGGGUAACCGCCCAGCAGAGGGGAGAACACUUGGAAACAGGUGCUAAACCGCUACUGAUGGAUGGAGCAGCGGGGCAUUAGCUAGUGGGGGGGGUAGCGGCUCACCAAGGCCACGAUGCAUAGCUGAGCUGAGAGUGUGAGCGGCCACACUGGGACUGAGACACGGCCCAGACUCCUACGGGAGGCAGCAGUAGGGAAUAUUGGGCAAUGGACGAAAGUCUGACCCAGCCAUGCCGCGUGAGUGAAGAAGGCUUUCGGAUCGUAAAACACUUUUGUUAGGGAAGCGUUAUCUAACCAGAAAGCCACGGCUAACUACGUGCCAGCAGCCGCGGUAAUAC